AUUGAACGCUGGCGGCAUGCCUUACACAUGCAAGUCGAACGGUAACAGGUCUUCGGAUGCUGACGAGUGGCGAACGGGUGAGUAAUACAUCGGAACGUGCCUAGUAGUGGGGGAUAACUACUCGAAAGAGUGGCUAAUACCGCAUGAGAUCUACGGAUGAAAGCAGGGGAUCGCAAGACCUUGUGCUACUAGAGCGGCCGAUGGCAGAUUAGGUAGUUGGUGGGAUAAAAGCUUACGAAGCCGACGAUCUGUAGCUGGUCUGAGAGGACGAUCAGCCACACUGGGACUGAGACACGGCCCAGACUCCUACGGGAGGCAGCAGUGGGGAAUUUUGGACAAUGGGCGCAAGCCUGAUCCAGCAAUGCCGCGUGCAGGAUGAAGGCCUUCGGGUCGUAAACUGCUUUUGUACGGAACGAAAAGCCCUGGGUUAAUACCCUGGGGUCAUGACGGUACCGUAAGAAUAAGCACCGGCUAACUACGUGCCAGCCGCCGCGGUAAGAC
rnacentral:rRNA from 1 species